rnacentral:lncRNA from 8 species
AUGCAACUGUUCAGUGAAGUCAGGAACCAAUACACACAGUCAGUCAGGAAAGCAAAGGCUAGCUUUUUCAAACAGAAAUUUGCAUCCUGUAGCUCUAACUCCAAAAAGUUUUGGGACACUGUGAAGUCCAUGGAGAACAAGAGCACCUCCUCCCAGCUGCCCACUGCACUGAGGCUAGGCGACACGGUCACCACCCAUAAAUCCAUGAUAAUCGAAAAUGUCAAUAAGCAUUUUUCUAUGGCUGGCCAUGCUUUCCUCCUGGCUACCCCAACCCCGGCCAACAGCUCCACACCCCUCGCAGCAACUUGCCCGAGCCUCCCCAGCUUCUCCUUCACCCAAAUCCAGAUCGCAGAUGUUCUGAAAGAGCUGCAAAACCUGGACCCGUACAAAUCAGCUGGGCUAGACAAUCUGGACCCUCUCUUUCUAAAAUUAUCCGCCGCCAUUGUUGCAACCCCUAUUACCAGUCUGUUCAACCGCGCUUUAAUUUCGUCCGAGAUCCCUAAAGAUUGGAAAGCUGCCGCGGUCAUCCCCCUCUUCAAAGGGGGUGACACUCUAGACCCAAACUGUUACGGACCUAUAUCCAUCCUGCCCUGCCUUUCUAAAGUCUUUGAAAGCCAAGUUAAUAAACAGAUCACUGACCAUUUCAAAUCCCACCGUACCUUCUCCGCUGUGCAAUCCGGUUUCCGAGCUGGUCACGGGUGCACCUCAGCCACACUCAAGGUACUAAACGAUAUCAUAACUGCCAUUGAUAAAAGACAGUACUGUGCAGCCGUCUUCAUCGACCUGGCCAAGGCUUCCGACUCUGUCAAUCACCGUAUUCUUAAUGGCAGACUCAAUAGCCUUGGUUUAUCAAAUGACUGCCUCGCCUGGUUCACCAACUACUUCGCAGAUAGAGUUCAGUGUGUAAAAUCGGAGGGCCUGUUGUCCGGACCUCUGGCAGUCUCUAUGGAGGUACCACAGGGUUCAAUUCUCGGGCCGACUCUUUUCGCUGAUAUAUCAACGAUGUCGCUCUUGCUGCGGGUGAUUCCCUGA